ACUCCGUACGGGAGGCAGCAGGUGGGAAGUAUUGCACAAUGGCGCAAGCCUGAUGCAGCCAUGCCGCGUGUGUGAAGAAGGCCUUCGGGUUGUAAAGCACUUUCAGUCGUGAGGAAGGUAGUGUAGUUAAUAGCUGCAUUAUUUGACGUUAGCGACAGAAGAAGCACCGGCUAACUCCGUGCCAGCAGCCGCGGUAAUACGGAGGGUGCGAGCGUUAAUCGGAAUUACUGGGCGUAAAGCGCAUGCAGGUGGUUUGUUAAGUCAGAUGUGAAAGCCCGGGCUCAAGCCUC
rnacentral:rRNA from 1 species